GCGACCAAUCGCAGGCCACGCACUAUGGUCAACCCCAAGUAAAACGGGGCAUACCUGACUGCGUACGUCUGCUGCACGUUGGCAAAGCACUUUCACUUUGCUCAUUCUUGCUUUCCAUUGCGGGCACUUUCACUUUGCUCAUUCUUGUACCAUCACCGGUUCUUGAACACCACACAAGAUCAAAGAACAACUUGCAGCUCUUCUUUUUCUUGGCCUUCUUCGCCACCGGCGACCAUGUCGGAGCCCGGCGGGUGUUGCCGGCGCUGCUGUGGGUUCAUCUUCACUUGCGGCCUCUCGGCUCUCUUCCUGUGGCUCGCGCUGCGCGUGUCCAAGCCCAGUUGCUCUAUCCACCAAUUCUACCUCCCGGCACUCAACGGAUCUUCCAACACUCCCGCGAAGACCACCAUUUUCUUGGACGUGAAGCUGAGCAACGUCAACAAGGAGAAGGGCAUCCACUACGACCCCGUGAACCUCACCGUUUAUUGCUUCAGCGGUACGAAUCGGACCAAGUGGGUCAAGACCAUUCCUGGAUUUUACCAGGGGCAUGGGAAGAAGGCCACGAAGAAUGCAAGUGUGGAGACUUUGGGGGUGAAUUGGACUGAUUUUGUGGUGGCCAAGGACGAGUCUUUGGUCUUUAGGGUGGAUUUGGCCACUGCUGUGAGGUUCAAGAUCAUGCUUUGGAACACCAAGAGGCAUAAGUUAAUGGUGGGAGCUAAUGUGACUCUCAAUGCUGAGGGUGCUAAGAACACCACUAAGGAUAUCAAGCUAAAGUCUGGGGUGUGUAAGAAUUUGAGAUGUUGUUGCUUUUGGCAGUUUGGCAUCAUCAGUAGUUUCGACGGACCUCAUCAUCAAUGCCGUGAACAUUACUGUUGGAUCCUAUUCAAGCAUGCAGCUGAUUAUCUUUGGAAUCUUCAAUCACAGUGCUUGGCAGAGGAUACAAACAAGUGGCUCGUCAUUAAACCAGAGCUAGUUUUGCCAGUUAAUAGAUCCCUGACGCUUGCAGUUGACCUCUCAUCAUCACUCAAUGCCCACCGUCGGUCCACGAUCUGGUGAUGCAAUCUUUGCAAAUGUUGAGCGAGUGAAUGCAGAGCUGUUUACUUUAACCUUCGGAGCAAUUGUGCAUCAAUUGCUUACAGAUCUGGAGGAGGCUGAGGAAGUCAACAACCAACUCGAUCAAAUGGGUCAUAAUAUGGGCACCGGAUUGAUUGAUGAAUUUAUAGCAAAAGCUAAUAUCUCCAGACGUGUUGACUUCAAGGAGACAGCUGAAAUGAUUGCUAAGGCUCCUUUGUCGAAGAAAUUGUGGCUGUGUGUAUUAGUCUUGAGAAGACCUCCUGUGGGCGCCAUCAUGGCCAGUGGGUCCUUCGUGGGAGGAGAACGGGCAUUUUGUGCCGCACGAAGGACAUUCUGAAUGUGGAGCUCUUGAUGAAGACGCGCCUUCAACAUCCGGCAAAGAUAUGCCGUGAGCUAUACGUCCAUUUGAGUUGUUUAUUUAUAAACACUUGGGGUUU